AGCUGUCAUGGUGGCUGAAGUCCAACCAUGAUUCACCACUCUAGAAUGAAGCAAGCAUAUCCAGAGAACUCCACAAACUGUGGCUCCAGGGGACAACACACUCAAGGCUCUGCUUCUGCUGCUUCAGAGACUGAGAGUCUUCACAUGGCUAAAGAACGAGGACUACAACCAUAUCUAUUUUGUCAGAGAGAGAACUAG
rnacentral:lncRNA from 1 species